rfam:Nomascus leucogenys chromosome X, whole genome shotgun sequence.
GCCGGGCGUGGUAGCGUGCGCCUGUAGUCCCAGCUACUCGGGAGGCUGAGGCGGAAGAAUUGUUUGAAACUGGGAGGCGGAGUUGCAGUGAGCCAAGAUGGCGCCACUGCACUCCAGCCCGGGUGACAGAGCAAGACUCUGUCUCAA